CCCCAAUCCCAGCCCGUCCUCGAGCCCCACAUUCCCUCCCCUCCCCUUUAGCUUCGUCGCCGCCACCUCUCCCUGCACUCCAGUCUCCACCACCACCAUGCCCCCUUGCUUCCCCUUCGCUUUUAUCCUCCUCUCGAUCCGGCGCUGGCACACACAGUGGUUAUGGAUGGGCCGCUGGUUGCCUUCAUGGGAGAGUGCGGCGUUGAGGUCUUCAGCGUGGGUGUGGAGGAGCGGAAGAGGUGAGGAGGAUGACAACAUGGGAAGAAACAGCCAGAUCGAAGCUCUCGUCGCCGCUCGCGUUGCCAUGGAGUGGAGGGUCGCCGUUGGCCGCAUCACAGACAAGCGAGGACGAGGACAACGCCUGGAUUCGGCGAUGGCAUCAUAAGAGGCCUGGGCCUCCUCCACGGACGAGGCGGUGGCGCGCUUGGCGGCCGCGAUCUGAGCACCAGUUCAAGGUCAGAUGAUGUGUGCAAGGAAGGAAAGAUGCAGACAAGCAACGCCGAAGACGUCUUCAAAGCGCUUGAUGAGAUUGAGUUCCCAGAGUUGGUAGAGCCCCUGAGGACUGCAUUGGAUGAAGCAAAAAGGCAGCCUGGAGCAAAACAGAGGAAACUAGAUAAAGAGCCAAUGCUGCAGAGCAAAAUGAUCGAGCAAACGAAGCCAACGCGGACGACGAUUAACUGCUCUAACCUUGUGGUAGGUUGAAUCUGAGUCACAUUAAUGGGUGAACUUUCUCGUAAUUCUUUUUCCUGAAACUAUAAGACAUGGCUGAAGAUGACAUUUUGGUAAUUUUGUAUGCUGAACCAUGAUGCUAGGCUGAAUAAUUUACUAUUUUUUGUUCGCAUGAGCUCACAUUUUGGUAGUUGCAAAACCUAAACCACGAUGCUUUCUUGCCGCUGUUGUAGUCUCUAAUUAAUGGAAUUGUGAGAGACUGUAGUUAAUUUAAGUUUCUUCUGUUUCAUUAAAACAGGCGUUGAUAGCUGCAUAAGUUUAACCAUGAUGCUUUAUUUUUUUAGGGAAAACCAUAAUGCUUUCUUGCUGCUGCUGUAGUCUCUAUGUAAGCUAAUCUCAUCGGUUUGCACUCUCAAAAAUCGCAGGAGCCAUACAGAAAAAAGUAGGGUACUAUUAGAAAUUGGCCGUGUGAUUUUCAUAUUCAGAGAAUAGCACAUGUGUUGAUUAAACUGAAAACGUAUUUUGAUGCAUGGAAAAUGUAUGUGGUGCGUUUCAUUUCUGCUCAUCCUGAUCUAACCAAACUGACCCCAUGGAUUUGAGAUUGCCGUGCCUACCAGGUUUGGACAUGUUCUUAUUUGUACUACUACUAAAUCAAAAACUAAACUGUAUAAAUAAAAUAGCCCCCCCCCCCCCUUUCCAACAACUUAUUUUAUUUUUAGAGUGAGCAACGACAUGUUAUCACACUCUGUUUCUUGUGAGCAGUACGUCAGUUUAGAUUGACGUAUACUGUUUGGUGCUGUGCCUAUCAGGAUUGGACAUGUUCUUAUUUGCACUAAAUCACAAAACUAAACUGUAUAAAUAAAAUAGCCCCCCUCCUUUCCAACAACUUAUUUUAUUUUUAGAGUGAGCAAUGAUGUGUUAUCAUACUCUGUUUCUUGUGAGCAGUACGUCAGUUUAGAUUGACGUAUACUCUUUGGUAUAUAGCAUUUUUGCCUACCUCUUGCCUAUUUCACAUAGAAUAGAUGAUUUCCUUUGCGAGGGAUUAGAUAAGGCCUAUGAGUCCUAGGUAAGCGUGAUGAGCAUGUCCUGCACUUCUAUUUACUAUUAAGCACCAACUGAAUUUCUGAUAAUGGCGUUUCAAGAAUGACACAAUCAAUCCAACUUUUACCUUUGGGGUGCUUUUUGGAUGGACUAAUCUGAAGAUGUUGGCUAGCUUGCACCGCCAUCAUAUAAUCUAGAAGCAAGGGCAAGGAUUAUAGGGAAAAUAAAGGGGAUGCAUUCCGUCAUUGUCCAUCAACAAGUUCAACUCCGACGAUGGUUCACCGAUGUGGGCCGAUGCACCACAUCAGCAACGUCAAUGGCCUGACAGGCCAUUUUCCAACUGGGCCUGUUGUAAAUGACGAAACCAUGAGGAUGUAAUCAGUAAUGUUGCUCCUGAAAACGAAGAUGUACUUUGCCAUGCCACUACUCUCGGCAAAAUAGUAGAUCAUGGUGCCCCUUGUGCUACAGUGGAAUUGAAUCACAAAAAUUCUACAGAUUCAUCAAGCACCAAAGGAGGUUAGUUUUUACCUGAGCA